UACGUAGGGGGCUAGCGUUGUCCGGAAUCAUUGGGCGUAAAGCGCGUGUAGGCGGUUCGGUAAGUCCGCUGUGAAAGUCGGGGGCUCAACCCUCGAAUGUCGGUGGAAACUGCAGGACUUGAGGCUGGGAGGGGCUGGUGGAAUUCCCUGUGUAGCGGUGAAAUGCGUAGAGAUGGGGGAGAACACUCGUGGCGAAGGCGGCCAGCUAGACCAGUUCUGACACUGAGGCGCGACAGCGUGGGGAGCAAACAGG
rnacentral:rRNA from 1 species